rnacentral:rRNA from 1 species
AGUGAACGCUGGCGGUAGGCCUAACACAUGCGAGUCGAACGGCAGCACAGUAAGAGCUUGCUCUUACGGGUGGCGAGUGGCGGACGGGUGAGGAAUACAUCGGAAUCUACUUUUUCGUGGGGGAAAACGUAGGGAAACUUACGCUAAUACCGCAAACGACCUACGGGUGAAAGCAGGGGAUCUUCGGACCUUGCGCGAUUGAAUGAGCCGAUGUCGGAUUAGCUAGUUGGCGGGGUAAAGGCCCACCAAGGCGACGAUCCGUAGCUGGUCUGAGAGGAUGAUCAGCCACACUGGAACUGAGACACGGUCCAGACUCCUACGGGAGGCAGCAGUGGGAAAUAUUGGACAAUGGGCGCAAGCCUGCUCCAGCCAUCCCGCGUGGGUGAAGAAGGCUUUCGGUUUGUAAAGCCCUUUUGUUGGGAAAGAAAAGCAGCAGGUUAAUACCCCGCUGUUCUGACGGUACCCAAAGAAUAAGCACCGGCUAACUUCGUG